CUGGCUCAGGACGAACGCUGGCGGCGUGCCUAAUACAUGCAAGUCGAGCGGACUAAUGGGAGCUUGCUCCCGUUAGUUAGCGGCGGACGGGUGAGUAACACGUGGGCAACCUACCUGUAAGACUGGGAUAACUUCGGGAAACCGGAGCUAAUACCGGAUGACAUAAAGGAACUCCUGUUCCUUUAUUGAAAGAU
rnacentral:rRNA from 1 species